rnacentral:rRNA from 1 species
CAAAGGAAUUGACGGGGCCCGCACAAGCGGCGGAGCAUGCGGAUUAAUUCGAUGCAACGCGAAGAACCUUACCAAGGCUUGACAUACACCGGUAACGCCCAGAGAUGGGUGCCCCUUUGUGGUCGGUGGACAGGUGGUGCAUGGUUGUCGUCAGCUCGUGUCGUGAGAUGUUGGGUUAAGUCCCGCAACGAGCGCAACCCUCGUCCUAUGUUGCCAGCGGGUCAUGCCGGGGACUCAUGGGAGACUGCCGGGGUCAACUCGGAGGAAGGUGGGGAUGACGUCAAAUCAUCAUGCCCCUUAUGUCUUGGGCUUCACGCAUGCUACAAUGGCCGGUACAAAGGGCUGCGAUACCGCGAGGUGGAGCGAAUCCCAGAAAGCCGGUCUCAGUUCGGAUUGGGGUCUGCAACUCGACCCCAUGAAGUCGGAGUCGCUAGUAAUCGCAGAUCAGCAACGCUGCGGUGAAUACGUUCCCGGGCCUU